UUAAGUCAUCCUUUCUGAGUUUUCUGGUUUAUUGUCGAGUUAUUUCUUGAGAAUCAUCUUAAUUUUAGAGUAUUUAAAAUGAGUGUAUCAUCUCUGCAGGUGUUUGUGUGAACUGGCUAAACAAAUAGGCUUCAGCAAACAAGCUCAGGAACCCUUUGAAUUAGAACACCAGUUAUCAACAUUCAGACAUGUGCCACCAGAUAUGGCGUGUAAAGAUCGGCUGGCCAAGUCUCUGAUGAUCACUAAACUCAAGUUCCCAUUUCCUCACAUGGUGUCAGUACUGGUGCGGGAUCGUGCUUCACGGAAACUAGAGUUAAUGUCCCAGGGCACAGCAGAUAUUGUCCUAGACUCAUGCACAGACUACUGGGAUGGCUAUGACAUAUGUCCGCUGACAGAAAAGGACAG